ensembl:lncRNA
AUGUCCAUUUCCUUAAUUAUUGCUAUGAACUUCUCCUGCCUUCUCUCAGGUAUGGACAGAGCGGGUUGGUCACGGACUCCGAGGUUAGAUGAGGAACAGCUUUAUAAUGGGGAAACUGACGACAGCUCAACCACUGAUGGGCCAGAGCGGGCAGCAGGGUCACAAAAGGGAGGCAGUUCCACCCUUCUAAAUAUAAACGACACCCGCCCCCUCAACAAAGAACAGCUCAAGCAGCUUGGCGACCAUGCCGGUCAUCAGGACCGCCUUGGUCCUUGGAUGGCCGGCGCCAACAGCCUCCAGCAGCCGCCGUCUAGCGCCGUCAUGUCCAUGUCACCCCAGGCCGCCUACAUGUCCAAAAUCAUUCCCAACGCCGUGCUGCCGCCCUCCAUCGAGGUGGUGGAAAUAAGCCGCGGACAGAGUCGUAACAGCGUUCGCACCGUCAGCAAGAGCAGCCUGAUGCUGUCCAGCCCGUCACCGUCCCGCGCUUCCUCCAGAUCCUCCAACGUCACCUCCGCCUCCCGCUACAACCCUAUCAACAUGUCUGACAGCUCUUGUUGGAGCAACUCUGAGUCCUCGGAGACAUUGGUUUCCGACUCCUCUACCAUCUCCAGGAACAGCACCCCAAAUCAGAGGCGGUCACAGGAAAGAGAGGACAAAAUCAGCGUUCACUCCUCCAUCAGCAAGGCAUCAAAAAGCACGUCCAAUGGCAAGCUCAUUAUUAAUGGAGAGGGGGUUAAAAAAGAGGGUCCGUUUGUGCGUAGCCUCUCCGUCAUGAAAUCCAAGAGGGCACCUCCUCCUCCAAGCCGCUCCUAUUCCCUUCACAAUAAGAUGAAGCGACGAUCACGUGACUUGGCAGAGCUGAAGAUCAACACAGGAGAAUCCUUUAUCCAUAACCGCUCAGCCUCCGGUGCGGAAAAUGAAACAAACAAAUUGGGAUAUUCUCCGGUGCCCACUAGAACCAGGGACAGCCCUGGAUACACUGCUGACACCAGUUCUCUGGAAGACUCUAUAGGUUCAGCAUCAUUUAGUCUCAUCAGAUCCCAGGUGCAGGCACUUAAGGCAGAGAGAGCAGCAAAGGUUGAGGACAGGGGAAAACUACCUUUGGAAAAUGAGCAGAGCAAAGUAGUAUCCCCUUCCAGUGGCUACUCAAGCCAAGAUGGCGCAUCAUCUCAGGUUCCUAAGCAGUCCAACAAGAAAGGCAUCUUAGCUAAGCUCCAUAGAUUUUUUCCAGGCUCCUCCCCUCUCCCGCAACCUGACACAUCUGCCGAUAUCGUAAACAUCAGCCCUUCGGUAAGGGCCCUGAGAGAACUCUUCAACAUCCCUCCGCCACCUAAAGUCCAUGCACCACCAGCCCCUCCUCCAGAGGUAUGGGCCCACAGCAAGCGUUCCUUUGAGCUUCUGCUAGGACCUCCGGCACCUGAUAAUCUUGAAGCUAUCAUAAAGAAGAAUCCAAAGGACAGGAGACCGAGGCAGUCUCCUUCUACGUCGGCAGAGAGCUCUGUGAAGAGCUUAGUGAUGGAAAGAAAACACAAGAAACCAGCAGUGACUGUGGAGUCUGUUAAUAAGUUCCAGAAUGUGCUGGAAACAAAGAAAGAUCAAGAAAGUGGGAUUGUGAGUGCAGAGAAGCACAUGGAGAACAACAGAUUGGCUCAGCCAAAUGUUCAUUUGAAUGGGAAAAGUAAAGUGACAGAACAAGUUGAGGAAACACAAGUAAGUGAAAUAAUAAAUGGGAUAUUAGUGAAGGCCGUAGAGAAACGUGAUGGAAGGCUGGAAGCAGUCAGAGAAGAAGAAGAAGCCAAAAAUACAUCCACACAAACUUCAGAGACCACGAUGUCCCCCGAGUCGUCCUGGCCCCCACCACCUCCACCACUGGUGGGCCUCAAUGGUCCUGAUGAGAUGGAUUUCCCUCUUCCACCUCCCCCAAUCAUUGGUGAGGGGGGGUUAGUUAUGCCUGUUCAGGUGCCACCAGAGAGACCCACUCCUGGUGGUGACUCCUCUUGCACAACUACAUCUGUUCUAUCAGGGGUUGCACCUCCACCCCCGAGUAUCCCACCUCCCCCACCAUAUACAGCUCCCGCUCCACCACUUAAAGCAGUUUCCCCUUCUACUAUUAAAAAGGUCUCUCCUUCACCUCCACCUAAAGAGGUGACUCUUCUGCCGCCGCUUAAAGAGGAGACCCCUCCGCCGCCACCUAAAGUGGGGACUACUCUUCCGCCGCCACCUAAAGAGGAGACCCCUCCUCCGCCACCUAAAGUGGUUACUACUCCUCCGCCGCCAUCUAAAGAGGAGACCCCUUCGCCACCACCUAAAGUGGUAACUACUCCUCCGCCAGCCCCUAAAGAGGAGACCCCUCCUCCGCCACCUAAAGUGGUGACUACUCCUCCGCCAGCCCCUAAAAAAGUGACCUCUCCGGCACCACCGAUAGGCGUUUCUUCCCCACCCCUCAAAGAGGCUUCUCCUACCCUUGUUGUAGAUGGGUCCGUCACACUGGUUGCGGUGGUUUCAUCUUCCCCUCAGCCUCCUACAGAGGUCUCUACUAAGCUCACGCCACCACAAAGUAUUCCACCUCCUCCACCCUUCCCGUCACAAUCCAAGUCGGAACAGGAGAUUGAUCCUCCACAAGGGAGCAUCCCUUCCCAAUCUGAAACAAGUCCAGUUUCAUCUUACAGUAUUCUCACUCCCCCUCAGAGUAUCCCCCCUCCACCUCCUAUACAACUUCUCCAUCAACCUCAGGUGGGGCCACAGAACACAGAUGGUCCAGCUACCCAGGAGCCCCCCCCCUUUGGCACUAUCUGAAGUCUUGAUCCGACCAGCUCUAGAAAACUGUCCAGAAAAGUCUCAAGAACCUGCUCUUUCUCCUCCUGUAAACAUUCCUUCACCUGGUCUUGCCAGCAUUAAGGACCGGUCUAGUCCUGCAAUCACAGAAAACCAACCCCCAGAACUGGCCUCUGACG